CACUGGUAGACCUUUGUGUUCAUGUGUCUAUCCUAUUCACAAUAUAGCAACCAUGAGUAGCAGGUUUUUGUUUGGCUUUCCCACUGCUGAUGGACGCGGGACUGUUUACCUCAGGAAUAAAAUGAUGUCGGUGGGAAGCAAGAGGUCGGGACAGUAAGAGUUGUGUGUGCGUACACUGUGGUUGUGCUUCUGACACAGAGGCUGCUUUCCCUCUUGACUAGCAUCAAGUAGCAUUUAGUAGUCCUCACACAUACAGAGAGCAAAGAUCAAGUUGCAUCACUUUUUGCUCACACAACAGCAACAUAGACAGGAAGUGACAUCUGGAAUUACAAAUUCUGUUUUACUUGCAUUCGUUUUGUGCAAAUCUGUUGCUCCACCAGGGCAGAGAGAGCGAGGGAUUGGGGGUGAAAGGGUCACAUCCUUACGUUGGCUAUCUGUGUCAGCAUAAUCAUCACCAGUUGUUUAUAUGUGGUUCUGAUCUAGCUAGUGCAACACAGAAACAACAGCUGGGAUAAAGCCCUUUCAUAGGGCUAAUGCUACGCUAACUGCCUAUGCUAUAUGUCUAAUAGAAUCAGAACCAGUAGAGUGCAGCAAUUAGUAAAGAAUUGGAGUGUGACACAAGUGGUGCAGAUAGGGACAAAUGGGGCCAGUGUAAACGUGUGCAAGAAACCAAUUUCCAAUCUGCAUUGACAGCAUGUUCACCAAAGUACUAGAGCUGUACUGCAGGCUAAUUCUAUAUCUAGGCCUUUAUUAAUUUGUGAAUUGUGAGUAAAGCCGGGUGGACACUAAGCGAUUUUGGCAGCGAUAUAUUUGAGAUCGGUGACAAAAUCCCCAUAUUGUUACCUACUUAGGGCGUGCGGCUGUCACCGACGCUCGUUUACGUCCCAAUAUUUUCAAAUAUGUUUGAUUUUAAAAAUCGGCACAAAAUCUGCAAUGCUCUUGUAAUGUGAGAUGUGCAACGACAAGUUUUGAGAACUGCAAUCAGCAAUUGGCAAUGAGAGCUCGUGACGAAAUCAGGCGGAAGAGGUGGACGCUAGCUAGCGUAGCAUAAAAAAAACAUUGCUUCGAAGAGCUGGGAGCACUCCACGGUCUGUGGACACGAGAUGGAACGGAGGCUGGUGGAACUUUGGCAAGAUCCAAAGUGCCUGUCCGAUGUCUCUUCUGAGUUUCACCACAACCGGACUGAAAAAGAAAAGAGCUGGAAAGACAUUGCCACUGCUCUUCAACAACCAGCUCGAUGUGAGGAUAAAGAGAAAUGCUGCAUGAGACAGAGGAUAACUUGGAUGACGUCAGAGACAUCUGAAAUGUCUUUCUCCGCAUCACCAACAGCUCUGUUAAGACCUGUGACGUUGACAUAUGAGCAAUUAAGCCUCAAUCACGACGUGGUACCCCUAUUGAGUGAAGUCCUUCUCCUGGCCCCUCGGAGAAUCCAUCCACCACCAGCAGGAAGGAGACUGAAAAUAUGCCUUAGAAGAGACGCAGCAAAGAGAAGCAAUCGGAGCAGGACAGCUCCAGAAGCUUGUUUGUUUUAAGCGAAUGUCUGAAAAAGUACAGAAUAUUGGCGACAAGCAGCCUGUUGACACAGAGGUUACAUUUGGAAAUCAGGUGGCAGCUGAACUAAUAAAAGACCCAUCAGUCAAAACAGCGGUCAAAAGAAACAUUAGGAUACUGUUAAUGACGCCAAACAAUGUGAAGUUAACAUUAGACCACCACCACCUUCAUAUCCACCACCAGCAGCAUCUCACACACACAGUACCUGCACAGCCAUACCUUAACACCUACUGUACAUGCCACCUCAGAUUCGUGAGCCUCUAAGUCUUACUAGGAUGCAUUACAAAGUUGAUCCCAGUAACAGUCAGUAAAUGCAAGGCCCCAUGCUUGUACUUGUUUUUGAUAGAUUUUUAGGUAUAUGUUUACAAAUAGCCUAUACAAUUGUUUACAAUAUGCAUUUCUGAGGACAGCCUUUGCAGAGGUACACUUUUCAGGAUCAAAUGUGAAUGGCACUCAGUUUUCAAUAUGUACUGUACUGUAGAAUGGGCCCAUAACCAAAUCAUUUAAUUGAUUUUGGAACAUUUUGAAUACCUGUACUUGUUAUUGGUUAUUUGAGUGAUAUUAGGACAUACUACAUGCACUGUAUGAAAACAUAAAUUAGCAGGCUAGCUA